rnacentral:rRNA from 1 species
GCCCCGCUUGCGGGGUGGAUUAGUGGCGAACGGGUGAGUAAUACGUGAGCAACGUGCCCAGAACUCUGGAAUAACUUCGGGAAACCGUGGCUAAUACUGGAUAUGUGCCGGGGAGGCAUCUCCUCCGGUUGGAAAGAUUUAUCGGUUCUGGAUCGGCUCACGGCCUAUCAGCUUGUUGGUGAGGUAAUGGCUCACCAAGGCGACGACGGGUAGCCGGCCUGAGAGGGUGACCGGCCACACUGGGACUGAGACACGGCCCAGACUCCUACGGGAGGCAGCAGUGGGGAAUAUUGCACAAUGGGCGCAAGCCUGAUGCAGCAACGCCGCGUGAGGGAUGACGGCCUUCGGGUUGUAAACCUCUUUUAGUAGGGAAGAAGCGAAAGUGACGGUACCUGCAGAAAAAGCACCGGCUAACUACGUGCCAGCAGCCGCGGUAAUACGUAGGGUGCAAGCGUUGUCCGGAAUUAUUGGGCGUAAAGAGCUCGUAGGCGGUUUGUCGCGUCUGCUGUGAAAGCCCGAGGCUCAACCUCGGGUCUGCAGUGGGUACGGGCAGACUAGAGUGCGGUAGGGGAGAUUGGAAUUCCUGGUGUAGCGGUGGAAUGCGCAGAUAUCAGGAGGAACACCGAUGGCGAAGGCAGAUCUCUGGGCCGUUACUGACGCUGAGGAGCGAAAGCAUGGGGAGCGAACAGGAUUAGAUACCCUGGUAGUCCAUGCCGUAAACGUUGGGCGCUAGAUGUGGGGACCAUUCCACGGUUUCCGUGUCGUAGCUAACGCAUUAAGCGCCCCGCCUGGGGAGUACGGCCGCAAGGCUAAAACUCAAAGGAAUUGACGGGGGCCCGCACAAGCGGCGGAGCAUGCGGAUUAAUUCGAUGCAACGCGAAGAACCUUACCAAGGCUUGACAUAUACCGGACAUGGCCAGAGAUGGUCACUCCCUUUGGGUCGGUAUACAGGUGGUGCAUGGUUGUCGUCAGCUCGUGUCGUGAGAUGUUCGGUUAAUUCCGGCAACAAGCGCAACCCUCGU